GCUCAGGUAGCUCAGUGGUAAGAGCAGUUGCUCAACGAGCGAAAGACUCGGGUUCGAUUCCCAGUGUGGGUU
rnacentral:tRNA from 1 species